rfam:Brachypodium distachyon strain Bd21 chromosome 4, whole genome shotgun sequence.
CAUAUACUCCCUCCGUCCAACAAAAGAUGUCUUAAGUUUGUCAAAAUUUGGAUGUAUUUAGACAUGACUUAGUGUAUAGAUGCAUUCAAAUUUAAUCAAAAUUGAGACAUCUUCUGUUGGACGAACGAAGUACAUG